rnacentral:rRNA from 1 species
UUUAAAUUGAGAGUUUGAUCCUGGCUCAGGACGAACGCUGGCGGCGUGCUUAACACAUGCAAGUCGAGC